ACACUGUUCAUGGGUUACCGCGGCUGCUGGCACGGAGUUAGCCGGUGCUUCUUCUGUGAGUGAUGUCCUUCCUGCCGGUUAUUGACCCGCAGGCCUUCUUCCUCACUGAAAGUGCUUUACAACCCGAAGGCCUUCUUCACACACGCGGCAUGGCUGGAUCAGGGUUGCCCCCAUUGUCCAAUAUUCCCCACUGCUGCCUCCCGUAGGAGUCUGGGCCGUGUCUCAGUCCCAGUGUGGCUGAUCAUCCUCUCAGACCAGCUACGGAUCGUCGCCUUGAUGAGCCGUUACCUCACCAACCAGCUAAUCCGACAUAGGCUCAUCCGAUAGCGCGAGGCCCGAAGGUCCCCCGCUUUCCCCCGUAGGGCGUAUGCGGUAUUAGCCUGGGUUUCCCCAGGUUAUCCCCCACUACCGGGCAGAUUCCUAUGCAUUACUCACCCGUCCGCCGCUCGCCACCAGGGAGCAAGCUCCCCGUGCUGCCGCUCGACUUGCAUGUGUUAGGCCUGCCGCCAGCGUUCAAU
rnacentral:rRNA from 1 species